CGGGGUGUAGCGUAGAUCGGUAACGCGCUUGUUCUGGAAGUACUGGGAGCAAGAGACCGUUGGUUCGAAUCCAGCCAUCCCGA
rnacentral:tRNA from 1 species